GGAUUUUGAUAAUCGGUUGUAUGCGAGGCUAUCAAGUACCUGAUAAAGACGCCAAAGGAAAAGAAAAGAACAAAUAGUAAAAUAAUUAUUGAGUUCUAAAUCAUGUAAGUUCUCAAGAUAAUUAAACACGAAAUUCAAAUUACAAAGACGACAGAGUAUAAUCGCCGCCAAAAUCAUGCACAAGUUGAACUUUGACUACGGGCCAAAAAACUUUCGUGUUUAUAUAUGCAGCUACUCUAGAGGGGGUAACAUAACAGCACGAAUCUUUAACCGCCCCUUAAUUCCCAUUAUUCUAUGUACAUAACACCAUGUUUGGUAACUGUCUUAGAACAGAAAUAUAAAAGACAUUAGGAGAUACAAUCAUAUAUGGAGGAGACAAUUAGACGAAUAAGCAAAAAGUCUUUGUCUUCGGACAAAAUUUGCCCAAUUUUCUACCCGCCAACAAAGAAGGGACAGUGGAGCAUGGAGACAGAGAAAAACACCAACCAUCUUGUGUCUCUAUUUUCUAUCCUAAGACACUUUGCCAAACACAGUCUAAUAGAUGUGGGCUGCUGCUGGAAGUAAUGAAUGUAAGUUGAAAGGUCUUAGCUUGCAUUAUAAAAGCAAAACCUUAACUUUGUAUAAUAGACCUUCUUCCCAAAUCGGCGAUCAAGAAUGAGCAGAAAGAACUUUCUUGAUCGAGAAUCAGCCCAUUAGGUGUUUUCUGCUUCUUCUUCGCUUAAAUUUUCUCUAUCUAGAGGUAGAAUCCUAUGAUUAUCUAGAACUGUUGCCUUACACCGAAGUCUCUAUAUGAGAAUCUUCCAUGUAUCUUGUUCAUUGAUCUACUUGACAUGAAAAACUGCUGGCACUUUCGGGUAUAAGGUGCAUAAAAUAUAACAUAUAAAUAUGAAAGUGCAUAACACUAAUAUAAUUGCAGAAGUAUUAAGAUUUGAUCUACUUGAUAAGAUUUGAUCUGUGUACUGAAAGUCGCAAGAAACACUCAGAUAGAGAAGCCACAAGGUGGGAGGUGAAAUAAAAUGAAGAUGGAGAAUGAAGAAGGUGAAGAAGGAUAGUUGAGAAAUAAAAUGAAGAUAACCUUGCAUGUAAAAAAGAUAAGGAAGGUGAAGAAGGGUAAUUGAGAAAUAAAAUGAAGAUGACUGUGUAAGUAGAAAAGGAAGAAGAGUAGUUGAGAGAAUAAAUUUUGCAAUCAAUUCUCAACAGUAAGAAUUGAAAGCAAAAGCUAGAAAAUAUUGCUUUCAAAAUCAUGUUGAAAAAAAA